GCUUCUGGGGGAGGAGCAUCUGGGAGGAAGUUGGCCACACGCCUUCCUGUCCCAGGCUGCUGCUGCUAGCUUGGUCUCAGGAGCUUCUGGGGAGAGGAUGCCCAGGCCCUUUCCUGCCCCUGGCUAUUGCUAGCUGCUGGCUUGGUCUCAGAGCUUUUGGAGUAAGUUGGCCACACCCCUUCCUGCCUUCAGCUGCUGCUGCUGUUGCUGCCCCCCUGGGGAGGGCAACCCCCACCUUCACCUCUACUCUCAAAAGAAGCAUACCCUGAGUGGCUGACAUAGAUGGCUCCUACCAUCACUGCUGCUGUCUGCUCCACUGCUGCCCCCUCUCAGGAGACAGGGAGAUUUCCCUGUUGCACCAUGUUGCACCACUCAACACCACACCUGCACUGGACUACUCCCUAAUUGGCUGAUUGCUCCUGCCCUCCCUUACAGCUGCCUUGCUGCAUCUGAUCCUGCUUUGUUUCCCUGCCUGCUGCCAAGUGACUAGCUGGAGGCCUGAGGGACUCCUGAACUGUUCUCCAACAAACAAAGCACCUCCACCACACCAGUCAUCUUUUACAUCUGCGUCAGCUGCCUUCCCUGUGUGUUUUGCCCUUGUGUGGGCUAAUCACUAAUGUCUAAUUACAAAUAUCAAUGGGCUCACUAAUGCCAGAAAAGUGCAGCUUUACAAUGAGGGCAAAACUCAUACCAUAUCAGAGAUGAUUAAGGAAGAACUGGAUCCCAGGAUGGUACAAUCUUCGCUUGGGCAUCUUGGUGUAUAGCAAAAGUUUGCAGAAGACACCACUGUGAAGCAGGUCAUUUGCUCCUCUUGAUCUUUGUGUAGAACUGUUGAUCAACAGAUGAACUGGUGAUGGAAUGAAGGUAGGAAGCCAUAUCCCAACCUUGGCUGUUAACAUGUUUUGUUAAGUGACAUCCCACAAUAGCAGUUAAAAGACUUUGAAGUAUUUUAUAGAGCAAAAAAGUGUUGUAGAACUAUUGAGUUAUUUCUUUUGCAAAAGAGGGCACUGUACAGCAGGCAGAAGUAUGAAUUUAAGCCUGUUAAAACACUUGUAACAGAAGUCUAAGCUGCUUAACAUUAACUUGCUAGAGAUUCAUCACAAUCUACCAGAACUUUCCUGUUCAAGUCGGGGCUUUGCAGAAAGCCAUAAAAGGGAAGGAAUAUAGUUUCAUUUGCUGGCUCAUACUGCUGAAAUACUAAAACAGGAGAGUAACAGAAAUUGUUUUAGCCAGAUCUAACACAAGUAGCGUGAAACAAUGUAUACAAAAAUAUGUAAUAUAUUUUCUUCGGCUCGAAUGAUGUUACUGACAUGAAACCUUUUGAAUUCACAUUAAAAGAAAAAAAAUGUGUCAUUUUCUAUUGAUUUAUUUUUGGUUAAAAUAAAUUUUCUAUAUUGUACAUCAGCAUGAAAUUAUUAGAAUUUUACUUUGAGUGUUUUUUCCAUUUUAAGAUUAUACUUCAAUUUUGACUAGAAAUGCUAUUGUCACUAUUUCUCAUUGACUGGAAUGCUCAUUGUCACAUGCAAUAGUAAGAACGUUUGUGUUACUAAACAUUGAAUGUUAUGUAUUUUAUGGUAAAUUAACUUAUUCUGCUGUUAGAAGGCAACAAAGCAAACGAUCAAUAAAAUAAGUACACUUGAGAAAUGUAUAGCUGUGUUUUAAAAUGACUAGUCAGGAUCCAUUAGUAGACAUCUUGGUUCUUUAAAUUACUCUAUGCUGUAUAGAGAAACAGUUGCUAUGUACUUUCACUUGUACAACUUGACAGGUUUGCAACAACAGGCUUUUUAAAAAUGAGAUUGCCUUGGAUCACAGAUAUAUAAGGUCCUGCCUGUGAAGCAAGUGAAAUACUUUGAUAAAAUGCCAAAAUGCCAGAGCUUUUAAACAAAUUACAUAGUUUACUGCUCCUGUUAACGUAGCAGCAUGCAUUCUUGCAGUUAAAUAUUAAAAGUGACUCGUAAGUAGUUGGCUACAGUGUCAUAUCAUGAAGUAUUUGUUAGUUUCCAAAUGUGGUUAUCAAACUAUUUGACACUUCUACUCUAAUUACAAUUUAAAAUGUAUUUAAUCUCUGAAGCACACAGCAGCACUUUAUGUCACUUGUAAAAAUAAAAAAUG